GUGCCAAAAAAAAUGCAACGGAGAAAGUAUUAUAUUUGCAGAACUGGCAAGGUGAGAAUAAGAAUUAUUAACCAAGACCUAAUGCGAUUGACCAUAUUAACCAUGCCCUUACUAAAUGAUAAGGGGUUGUGCAAGAACAUGUAGUUUACUUGGACAGUACCAAAUUU